rnacentral:lncRNA from 1 species
UCAAAAAUAUUUCUACUUGUGUACAAAUAAUACAUAGUUCCAAAAGCAAAAUAUCUACACUACUUUUGCCUUCUUUCACAAGGUAACAAUUAGCUUAUUCAAAUAUCUCACUGCAAGAGUAAUUUGUAUAUAUAUAUACUAGAUCAGUGUUUUAUUAUUGCUGCAUGCUCUCCCUGAAGUUCAUAGAUCUAGACAUCGCUGCAGGGUUUUCUUGUAGAUUGAUAGACGUUUCAGGGACCAAGCUUCUUCUGUUGCUACCCUUUGUUUCAAAUCUAUUGAACAAACUUAAUCCUCCUUCCGUAUUCUUCUCAGGCUUUGUUGGUAACUCAGGGUACACCACGUUCUUAGUAGCUUCACUAGUUCUAAGAGUAGUAUUUUUGGUUUCUACUUCAGUUUGAUCCCUUGCUCGUUUCCCUAAACAUGGUGAAGUCUCUGAGAUAGGCCAUAUAGGAACCGUGCAGCCCCAAUAGAAAGGGAUAGGGUAGAAACUAGUAUUAGGACCCGUUGGACUCCAUUGGUAAGGCCAAGGAGAAGUAUUAUUAGGUAACAUUACUUGGGAAGCAAGAAACUCUUGGUGGGUUUUGUUUUCUUGAUGCUUAACAGUCUCUGUAACCGAAGACUCUGAAGAACCAAAACUGAGGAUCGUUCCCGAGUUAUUGUUGUUCUCAUAAUCCUCAGACGUGACCUUCAAGUAAUGGUUUGAACAAGGCCACCCUUUGUUCUUGCGGCGGCCUGAUCCAACGGGGACGUUUCUCAUGGAUCCACCAGCUGUCCAGUACCUCUGACAGUUCCUGCAGAAGUGACGCGGCUGGCUCACGUUGUAGUUGUUGUAGUAACAGAACUUGGUGUUUGCGCUUUCGCAUCUCGGACACGGAAGAAGCUUGUCCGGUUUCUUGAGAGUAGUUGGUUUAUCUUCUGAUGUACUUGUUGUUGUUGUUGUGAUCUCGCUCUGUUGAUCCCCGUUGGUCUUUGAGCUUGUUGGUGAUGAAAUCUCAAAAGCUGCUCUUGGCGGUUCGUUAAGAUCGGAUAAUAUGCAAGGACCUUUGAAUCUGCUAUUGCCGUGCUCAUGGUUAUUAGCCAGAACCUAAAAUUUUAGCACAACUUUAUUAUAACUAGCCACAGCUUUGUCUUAACGGAUAUAUAUUAUUACUACAAAACAGAGGAGUUUGAAAAAAAAAAAGAAAAAAAAAGGAGUUUGAACAAAAAGGACUUUGAGAUUUGCGUGACAGCAUACCAUGUUUGGUCCGGUCGAAGGACAACAAGAGGAUGAGGAAGAUGAAGAAGGCUCCUUGCUCUGAUAGGACACACCGUGAAUAGAAGAUAACGACGACGGAUCAUGAUGAUCCACAGCUAAAAGAGAUGUAAUUGUCGUCCCAAACAAUUUUAUCUCCGUAUCUUUAGAUUUCGACAUACUAAUUUUCCAACUUAACAAUUAAACCAAUUCCUCUAAAAAUUAUUGUUUACUCGUUUUUUUAUUAGAUCAGAGAAAAAGGAGAGAAUACAAGGGGCUGAGCUUGGUUGGUAUGAAUGACGAUAGUGCAUAGAAGAGAGAGAGAGAGAGGGGGAGAGUCAGAGAGAGACUUGUUAAGUUUUAAGAGCCACAAAUGCUGUGGCCACUAUAAAGGAUCCUUUUCACGCUCUUUUAGAUUCCCCCGUUCUAGUGCUGCUUAAAAGAUUUUAGCCAUCUUUCUUUGUUGCCAUGUCGGAUUUUUCCUUUUUAUUUAAUUUAAAAGAUAUGGAGAAACACAAACACUUGGUUCGUAGUGUCUGGUUUAGCCAAAAAGCAUUUACAAGAAUAUGUAUAUUUACAUUUUUACCAAAAAUUGGUAAUAAUAAUCUUUACAUUUUUACCAAAAAAAAUAAUAAUAUGUAUAUUUGUAGUGGUUAUUCACAAUCGCAUCCAGAGUUUAAAUUUGAUGUAAACGCAUUGAAAAAGAGAUCCACGCGGCACGCACAAUGAUAAACAAAAAAAAAAGUCAUAUGUACGUACGUGAAAAGUCAUACAAUACUUCUAAUAAACAAAAUAUUUGAAGAAUAAGGCUUACAAUUUACACACCUUAACUGGUUAGUUCUUAACUCAAGUUCAAAUUACUAAUCGAAACUCGAUGUUAUUAACUACAUAAACUCUUCGUUAAUUAUUACCAUAUGUGUUCGAACAAGGUUUUGUAUAAAUAGCAUGGAAUUUUUUCCAGUAUUAUGUUUUUUUCACUACUGACAUAUUAAACGUCAACACAUCCUUAUAAACCCCAGUUAAGGUGUUGAUGAACUUAUUUGCUAGAUAAAUAAAUUUAAUUGGCAAAAACAUUGUUCAAACAAAAUAAAGAUUAGUUUAACUGUGAAGUAACAUAAUCAUCCAAAUUUUAGCCAAAAAAAAGUUACAUAAUCAUUGCACAAGUCUGUGGAAGAGAAAACCAACAAGAAAAGUAAAACAACUAGAAUAGUACUGUAUAAAUUUAAUUUUGUUUUUGUCAACUGCCCAUCUAUCCGUAUAAAUUUGAUUAUUGGUGUAAAUUUUGAAAAAAAUAUUUGAACUUAUCAGAAAAUCUAUUUUUACAAUAAAUUUUAAAAGAAAUUGGUUUUCUCAUAACUAACUUAAAUAUUAUUACGUGAUGUCUAAACAACUCCAUAUUAACAUCUAAAAUCAUAUGCCCUUUCAGGUAUAUAUCGAUUUAUUGAAGAUGUAGAUGUCUAAAUCCGACAAGGCAUAACUUGUUAAUGCCAAGCUGUGUUACCACGUGGCAAAGGGUCCACUUCGUCUCCGAAACUUCCUACACACGUCAGCUCUUAUAAAGCAGUGCGGAUCGGUCAAUCUUCUUUUAAAAAGGUUUGUUUGCUAGAAACUAGCUGUUAGUCAAGCUUGUGACCAAUGUAUUUACAACACGUAGCGUGUCUCAUUGUGUUCAUAUAAAGUAAAGUAAUUUUUUACAAGAAAAAUUGAAAGGAUGCGGUAGUAAGAGAAACUAUGUUCUGGUUGUGUCUGACACGUCGCAUUUCCAGGUAAUGAGAUAAGCCUGGACCAUAUAUUUUUCUCUUAUCUCAUCUAACUCUUUUUUGAGCGUUUUGUUUUCUUCUUUUAACGUUUGUUUUCGUAUUUUGCAAAUGUAAUCCCUACUUAAUUUCAACCAUGCCGAUAGUUGCGUGCUACUUUUCCGUUGUGCAGUGAGGACGUAAAGUAAGAAAAUAGUGAUCGAUGAAAAAGAUUUGACAUUAUGAAUAAUACCAUCUUUCUAUUAAUUCCUCGGUCGGAUAUUUUUUUUCAUAUAACUGUGAAUACGACUGUACUUUAGUGUGCAAACAAAAGAAAAAUUGAAAACUAACAAAAGAAAAUUUGAAAACUAUGUAGUAUGUACAGCUAAGCCUAUGUAUGAAAGCCAUGAUCUGGAGAGAUAAUUGAUCUAUAGUUUUUUUUUUCAGUUAGGUUCUGUGGAUGGACUUGGGCAUAAUUUGUUUGGAAGAGUUUGAGGUUUAUAGGCCCGUUUUUACAGUAGAAGAAAUCCAAACUAUACGGGUCGUAUAGGCACGGUAAAGGCGC